rnacentral:tRNA from 2 species
CGGCGCGUCGGCCGAGGAGGGCCGGCACCGGUUGAUCCGGCGGGUGCUGUGCGUGCGCGGCUCCCUUCCGUUCCGGACCCGGGUGGCGCCGC